ACGCUCGACACCUACGGAGGCAGCAGUUAGGAAUAUUGGGCAAUGGAGGAAACUCUGACCCAGCAACGCCGCGUGAAGGAAGAAGGUUUUCGGAUUGUAAACUUCUGAUCUAGGGGAAGAAGGAAGUGACGGUACCCUAGGAGAAAGCCACGGCUAACUACGCGCCAGCAGCCNCGGUAAUCUGAGCGGGCUGGCAAGGC
rnacentral:rRNA from 1 species